AUUGGAUGAAAUUCAGAUGUACAAAGAUGAAGAAACAUUGUUUCUAAAUCCAAGUAUAUCAAUACUACCUUGUUCAGAACUUAAAGAGAAAUCUUGAGUUUAUGGACUUCAGGGGGAGUAUGGUCACAAGGCUGAAACUUAAAGGAAUUGACGGAAGGGCACACCAGGAGUGGAGCCUGCGGCUUAAUUUGACUCAACACGGGAAAACUUACCAAGACCGAACAGUAGAAGGAAUGACA
rnacentral:rRNA from 1 species